AUGACUCCAAGUCAUUAAUCAGAGUCGAACCUCUGCAUGGCAUUCAUGUAGGUGAUCAGAUCCUUGUUGUUCUCAUCGAGUUCAACAGCAAUCAUGUCCCGAAACUAGAAAUCAAAGUAUUUAUCUGACAGAUACGGUACCAUAUUGGAUCUCCUUAAUAGUGCUUUUACAAUAGAUUUUAGAUUUGAUCUAAUCAAAUCUGGUUCUAUGGGUUCACUAGAUUGUAUCGAUUCUUCUACCUGUCGAACUUCAUAAGUUCAACAUUAAAGGCAUC
rnacentral:lncRNA from 1 species